AUUGAACGCUGGCGGCAUGCUUUACACAUGCAAGUCGGACGAGUGGCGGACGGGUGAGUAAUGCAUCGGAACGUGCCUAGUGAUGGGGGAUACCUGCCGGAAAGGAUAGCUAAUACCGCAUAUUAUUCGAGCGGCCGAUGUGUGAUUAGCUGGUUGGGGGGGUAAAGGCCCACCAAGGCGACGAUCAUUAGUGGGUCUGAGAGGAUGAUCAGCCACACUGGGACUGAGACACGGCCCAGACUCCUACGGGAGGCAGCAGUGGGGAAUUUUGGACAAUGGGCGCAAGCCUGAUCCAGCCAUGCCGCGUGAAUGAAGAAGGCCUUCGGGUUGUAAAGGACUUUUGUCAGGGAAGCGGUACCUGAAGAAUAAGCACCGGCUAACUACGUGCCAGCAGCCGCGGUAAUUC
rnacentral:rRNA from 1 species